rnacentral:rRNA from 1 species
CACGUAGGGCGCAAGCGUUGUCCGGAAUUAUUGGGCGUAAAGAGCUCGUAGGCGGUCUGUUGCGUCCGCUGUGAAAACUCGGGGCUUAACCCCGAGCCUGCAGUGGAUACGGGCAGACUAGAGGUAGGUAGGGGGAGAAUGGAAUUCCCGGUGUAGCGGUGAAAUGCGCAGAUAUCGGGAGGAACACCGGUGGCGAAGGCGGUUCUCUGGGCCUUACCUGACGCUGAGGAGCGAAAAGCGUGGGGGAGCAAACAGG